UGGUAUGUGUAUCCGGGAGGUUUCACGCACCCCCGUAAAGGGUGAGACGCGGGUUCAACUCCCGCCGUGGGAU